UUCACUUUAUCUUCACUUCAGUAUCUGAACCUCUAAACAUCGUGUAUAAAGUGUAAAGUGUAUGCCAAAAUGUGCUCCCAACUAAGUCCAAAUUUCUCGUUAAUUAAGUGGCUAUAAAACUUGAAAGUUAGUUCCUUGUAUUGCUGAAGACUCAGCGGAACCAUUUAGUAUCUUCCCGUUCGAAUAUCUUGUCACAUGUACGAACAAGAUCUGUCGGAGAAUUGGUUCAAUUUUACUACCUUUGGAAAAAAUCUGAGAGGCAUGACAUUUUUGCUAACAAGGCUCGACUUGAGAAGAAAAAGUAUGCUUUGCACCCUGGCCUUACCGAUUUCAUGGACAGAUUCUUAGAAGACCAAGACAGCCGUGAUCGCAGUUCCUCCCCAAAUGUCCAAUGUGGUGGAAACGGUAAGGUACCUCCAGAUACCUGAUCUCUGUUGUAUAGUUAUUAAGUAUAUCAAAAACAAACAAUAAUUCAACCAUUCAAUGGUUCAAUUGGACAUAUUUGAAGCGACUGAUUUUUGUACAUAUAAAGUGUUAGUUUCUAUUUUGAUAUAUUAUUUAGGUUUUGUUUAUCAAAAUAUUGCAAACAAAAUUUUCACUGACUUGUUAUGUGUUAUUUAAUAUUUAUGAAUAAAUACUAUUUUUU